rnacentral:rRNA from 1 species
GACGAACGCUGGCGGCGUGCUUAACACAUGCAAGUCGAACGGAAAGGCCCUGCUUUUGUGGGGUGCUCGAGUGGCGAACGGGUGAGUAACACGUGAGUAACCUGCCCUUGACUUUGGGAUAACUUCAGGAAACUGGGGCUAAUACCGGAUAGGAGCUCCUGCUGCAUGGUGGGGGUUGGAAAGUUUCGGCGGUUGGGGAUGGACUCGCGGCUUAUCAGCUUGUUGGUAAGGUAACGGCUUACCAAGGCAACGAUGCAUAGCCGACCUGAGAGGGUGAUCGGCCACACUGGAACUGAGACACGGUCCAGACUCCUACGGGAGGCAGCAGUAGGGAAUCUUCCGCAAUGGGCGAAAGCCUGACGGAGCAACGCCGCGUGAGUGAUGAAGGUCUUCGGAUCGUAAAACUCUGUUAUUAGGGAAGAACAUAUGUGUAAGUAACUGUGCACAUCUUGACGGUACCUAAUCAGAAAGCCACGGCUAACUACGUG